rnacentral:rRNA from 1 species
GACGAACGCUGGCGGCGUGCUUAACACAUGCAAGUCGAACGGAAAGGCCCCCUUGUGGGGUACUCGAGUGGCGAACGGGUGAGUAACACGUGAGUAACCUACCCUUGACUUUGGGAUAACUUCAGGAAACUGGGGCUAAUACCGGAUAGGAGCUCCUGCUGCAUGGUGGGGGUUGGAAAGUUUCGGCGGUUGGGGAUGGACUCGCGGCUUAUCAGCUUGUUGGUGGGGUAGUGGCUCACCAAGGCUUUGACGGGUAGCCGGCCUGAGAGGGUGACCGGCCACAUUGGGACUGAGAUACGGCCCAGACUCCUACGGGAGGCAGCAGUGGGGAAUAUUGCACAAUGGGCGGAAGCCUGAUGCAGCAACGCCGCGUGCGGGAUGACGGCCUUUGGGUUGUAAACCGCUUUCGCCUGUGACGAAGCGUGAGUGACGGUAAUGGGUAAAGAAGCACCGGCUAACUACGUG